rnacentral:tRNA from 1 species
GGACUCUGCAGCUCAGUCGGUUAGAGCGCUGCACCGGAAUCGCAGAGCUACAGGUUCGAUUCCUGCCAGGCCG